AGAAGCUGAAAAGCAGGGUGUUACAGUAUCUCUUACGAGUUCUGUAAUUCAAGACUUAAUGAAAGAUGACUAUGUGUAUGAAGUUUCUAAUGAAGACCCUGCAAAAGAACAAGAACAACAAGCCCAAGAACUAACGGUGCAACAAGAAUCAGAACAAGAAGCACCUGUUAACGUACCUCUGGAACAGCCCUGUGAAGAACCAA